CACGGGGAGCGGUGGAGGGUGGCAGCACUCGCAGCGGAUGCACUCUCUUUGCGCGGGCCCCGCCCUUCCUUGCCUCACGCGAGGGCCCCGCGGGCGGCCGCGCCCUGGUGGUAUCGCGAGACUCUAGCCCUCGUGGUGGCGCUUCUUUCCUCGCCGGCCUCCACCUACCCGCGACGCCUCGACCCGCCCCCACAGCGGCCCAACUUGUCUGGAGUUGAGGUCCUGAGCGCCUAGUUCCUGCACCCGGCCAACGGAGAGCCCCGCGCCGCCGCCUCGCCUCCGGGAUCCCCCGCUCCGCUCCUCUCCGUUCCCGCGACGCGAAAAGUUGGCGAGGAGGCGCGCUCCUAGCCGGUGCGGGGCUCUCGGUCAUCGGCGCCCCGGGCGCCUGAGGCGCGGCUCUGCUGGGUCCUGUGGUACCAGAGUUCCUUCCCCGGGAUCCUCUCACCAGUCGCUGCGGGUACGGGCUCCUGGCCCCGCCUCCCCGUCCCAGAGCGGUGCAAGGGGAGCAGGAGCAGAUGGAGCAGGGGUAGAAGACCCGAGGACUUUGGGCGGCGGGAGCGGAGACUCUAGAGCGAGCGUGAGAAGGAGCCACAGGCUGCCCGGGUGGAGGAGCGAGGCUGACAGCGCGGUGGCGGCGCCAGGGACCCCGCGGCACAGAGGCAGCUCCGCUGUCCAGGCCGCCCCCCGGGUCCUGAUGAAGAAUGCAAGUGUAAUUUGGCCUGGAAGGCAAGAUGCUACUGAAUAAAACAAAGCAUAUGUGGAGGUAGAUGGACUUUGGUUUUAAUCUCAGAUCUUCUAAUUAGCUAUCUUUAAAGUAGGGAAAUUGUCUGCUUUAUGCUUUUUGAGGACACAGUGUUGAUUGUUUCUCUUACAUUUCACUCAGAUCUGACACAGUGUUUUAGUGUCUUCAAUUUGAGAGUGUUGAACAUUUUGUACUUGUGAGUCAAGUUCUGCGGAAAUAAAGAUGGCACAUUGAUCUAUGCCCUUGACUUG
ensembl:lncRNA